ensembl:lncRNA
AAGAGUUUAAAGAGCUUUUUCCUGUUUAUGAAUAUAAGUUUCUAUUUUCACUUGUUUUGCAUCUGAUUUUUCACCUUUUUCGUCUGGAGUUUUACUGCUGUGAUCAUUAAGUAUCUGAUGGCAGUUGUUGUUGGCAUGUCCUUGUCAUAAAUUCAAAUAUUUGUCUAUUUUUCAUCACUCUGGUCUCUUUGUGGUCAUUUUGCAGAAACCUUUUGUUCUUUACAGUUGUUUGUGUUUUGUGUGUUCAGCUGGGUCUAUUUUUUUCUCGUUAUUUGUAUCUUUGAUCACAACAAUACGUUUUCUGUCUUUUACCGUGGAAGUCUAUGGGACCGGCUCGCUGCUGCCUCUGCUGGACGUCUGAGGAAUUGCAGAUUGUGCCACUUCCGCGUUGGCUUGGAGAUUUCCGCGGAGUGAUCCUUCUUCCUCCAUCACGAUCUCCGCAGCCUUCACUCAGCCGACACGUCGAUCGGGAUUCUCUGCCUGGAAACGCCGCAAAUCGGAACCGGCGGCCGACACAGACGGAGCGGUCUCGCGGGCUUCGUGGGGGUCGAUUAGUGCUCAUCCAGCAGACGAUCCUCCUCUGGUGUUAGAUUUAGAUCUGGAGCAAAGAAACGUCCCAGCUGUCCCCGAGCUGGUGCUCACGCGUCUGAGUCUGGACCGUCUGGAGCCGCAGGCCGACCAGUCAGAAGCUGAAUGAUUAGUUCAGUUGGUUUUUCUCUAAGGAUGAAUCAUAAUGAACAUCAGCGCUUCUUAAUGUUAGGCCUCGAUCACACAGACCGGUCUGCAAACAUCUGGCAGCCGCCAGUCGUUGCAGCGGUUGCCUUAUAGUUUAUUUGGGGUGACACCAACCAAAGCAAGCGGGUGGAGGUUCUUGGUACAGCACCAUCCUCACUACUGAUAUUAUCCAGCAGCUUCCAGCAACCGUCACCAGCCAGGGCACAAACAUCCCAACACUGCUGUGGCUCCACAGGACGUCAGCAGCAGGCGCGACUCUUUCUCCUGACUGAAGAUGGGAAGUGAUCAGAGCCAUGAGAGGAAGGCUGAAGAGACUGAGAAGGAAACUGAAAAACACGAGCAGUGUGACAAAACCGAGGAUGCGACUCCUAAAGAGAUGCCAGGAGAGCUGCCCCAGUGCAGGAUGGGAAACAGGAGGGUGGACAACAUGUGUUUCAUGAUCUCGUGCACUAACUGGUACUGAACUGGUCCCCGUGUGUUGGGCUCACGAUGAAACAGAAGCACACUGGAGGAUCUGUCUGCAUCUGUGCUGCUAAAACGACAAAUGCACCUGACUUCACUUUCCUUAAAUUCAAAACCAAGACUAAUGAUAAAAGGAAGAGAUGGAAAAGGAUUUCAAACGAUGGGUCACAAGAUUCGUGGGCUGUGUGGGAUGCUUGGAUUUCUAGUCAUGCCAAUAAAGACUGAGCAAAAGUAAAGAAGUGUUGCUCGUCAUGCUCUGUGGGCUCAGACAGCUGUGUGAAAACGAUCAAAGAGAAGCGAGAGCUGAACAAAGAUUGCUCACUUCAGUUACUGAUGUUCAAAAAGAAUUAGACUAGAAAGGGAAGGAAAGGAGGAUGGAAGAGGGAAAGGAAGGAAAGAAAGCAAUUGGGAAAGGGAGGGAAGUAAGGAAAGGAGAAGGAAGCAAAAAAAGGAAGAAAACUGACAACGGAAGGAAAGGAAGGAGGAAACAACGGAAACGUGAAAGAAAUAAGGGGGUUAGGGAAGAGGCAGGAAGAAAGGAAGGAAGGGAAAAUGAAUGACAGAAAGAGAGAAAAGUAAUGGUGAAAGGAAAGGAAACGAGAGUACCAAAGGAAGGAAGGAAACUAAGGAAGGACAAGACUAAGAAGGAAAGGGAGCAAAGAAGCAGGCAGGAAGGAAUGAGAGGAGAAAGGAAGGUGGACAGAGGGAAGGGAAAAUGAAUGAAGGAGUCAAGGAGGAAACAAGGGAACUGUGAAAGAAGAAAGGGGCUUAGGGAAGAGGCAAGAAGAAAGGAGCGAUGGGGAAAUGAAUGAAGGAAAGAGGAAGGAAAAAGAACAAAGAAAGCAAAGAAAGGAUGAAAGGAAAGGAAAUGAGAGUACCUAAGGAAGGAAUGUAACAGUAAGGAGAAGACUAAGAAAGAAAGGGAGCAAAGAAGCAGGUAGGAACAAAGGAAGGAAAGGAAGAUGAAAGAAGGAGGAAAGGGAAAAUCAAAGAAGGGAGCAAAUAUAAAAGGAAGCAAAGAUGAAAAAGGAAAGAAGUGAGGAAGAAAAGAAGGGGACAAAGAGGUGGUUUUGGUAAAAAGGAGACCUUUGAGUCUAAUUUGUUUCACUCAGAGCUGUAAAAAUCCGAACACACUGCAGCGUGUUCAGAGUUCAGCAGGAACGACAUUAAUCAACAGACCGAAAGAAGUUUCAGUUUAAGACGUGAUGGAUUCAUCAGGAAUAUCAUUAUUCAUGUCUGUGAUAAGAUUAAUGCUGCAUAUCUGACACUUACUGUCUCAUAAUUAUGAGAAAGUCUUCAGGUGGUUAUAAAUCAUCUGUGCUUGAGAGGACGGGGCGACGGCGCUGAAUGAUUUAAGUUUAAUGAAUAUGAGCUCGGGUUUUAACACAAGUGGCUCCUUUUUUUUUUUCAACAAAGUCGUUCGGGAAUGUCACAAAAGCCCCGACCGGUGUGAACAGACGGGGAAUUUUACAAGAAACAAGAAGGAUGACGUCCCAGCUGGAGACAACACGAACCUUGGUUUGGUUAUUAUGUCAGAUAUUACAGCUCGACUGAAAAACUCAGACAACUCCUGUUCCUGCAAUAGUAAAAGGAAAAAAGAAGGAAAUGAUAAGGAAGAAAAGAGGGAAAAAAGGAAAGAGCGGAAGGAAGAAAAGGAAUGAAAGAAGUAGAGAGGAAGGAAGAUAUGAAGGGAAGGGAUGGAGGAGAAAGGAGGGAAAUAUGAAAAGGAAAGGGUAUGAAGAUGAAGAAGCUGAAAAGGGACGACAAAUGAAAAAGGAAAGGAAGCAAGGAAUUAAGAAUCAGUGAUGGAAAUUAAGAAGUAUGGAAGCAAAUGAGGAAAGGAUGAAGGAAAGAGGAGAGAAGAUGAUGCAAAGGGAGGAAGAAAAGGAAACGAAUGAAUUAACUUAAACUGUAGUUCCUCCAGUGACCACUUGAGGCUCCAGCAGUGACUCGGUGCCUGUAGACUUGUUAUAAUCUCCAACUUUACAGCAGAAAUAAACACAUUUACAGCCCG